GAUGAACGCUGGCGGCGUGCCUAAUACAUGCAAGUCGAGCGAACAGACGAGGAGCUUGCUCCUCUGACGUUAGCGGCGGACGGGUGAGUAACACGUGGAUAACCUACCUAUAAGACUGGGAUAACUUCGGGAAACCGGAGCUAAUACCGGAUAACAUAUUGAACCGCAUGGUUCAAUGGUGAAAGACGGUUUUGCUGUCACUUAUAGAUGGAUCCGCGCCGCAUUAGCUAGUUGGUAAGGUAACGGCUUACCAAGGCAACGAUGCGUAGCCGACCUGAGAGGGUGAUCGGCAACACUGGAACUGAGACACGGUCCAGACUCCUACGGGAGGCAGCAGUAGGGAAUCUUCCGCAAUGGGCGAAAGCCUGACGGAGCAACGCCGCGUGAGUGAUGAAGGUCUUCGGAUCGUAAAACUCUGUUAUUAGGGAAGAACAAAUGUGUAAGUAACUAUGCACGUCUUGACGGUACCUAAUCAGAAAGCCACGGCUAACUACGUG
rnacentral:rRNA from 1 species